rnacentral:rRNA from 1 species
CCUACGGGUGGCAGCAGUGGGGAAUAUUGCACAAUGGGGGAAACCCUGAUGCAGCGACGCCGCGUGAGUGAAGAAGUAAUUCGUUACGUAAAGCUCUAUCAGCAGGGAAGAAAUACUGACCUUACGGUCAGCAGACGGUACCUGAGUAAUAAGCCCCGGCUAAAUACGUGCCAGCAGCCGCGGUAAUACGUAUGGGGCAAGCGUUAUCCGGAUUUACUGGGUGUAAAGGGAGCGUAGGCGGCAGGGCAAGCCUGAUGGGAAAGCCCGGGGCUCAACCCCGGGACUGCAUUGGGAACUGUCCCGCUCGAGUGCCGGAGGGGCAGGCGGAAUUCCUAGUGUAGCGGUGAAAUGCGUAGAUAUUAGGAGGAACACCAGUGGCGAAGGCGGCCUGCUGGACGGUGUACUGACGCUGAGGCUCGAAAGCGUGGGGAGCAAACAGGAUUAGAUACCCGAGUAGUC